rnacentral:misc_RNA from 1 species
CUGAUCGGUACCGCGGACAGUGCCGCCGAUGUGAUGGAGGCCGCGGACCGUGCGAUGUAUGCGCGAAAGGCAUUGCGGCGUGGAGGCCGCGCGCGGGCCGCGCUCUGAAAUCAUGCCGCGGCGUCAUGACGCAAGAUCAGGCGAUGAUGUCAGGCGUGAUCUGGUCUUCGAUGAAUGAAAUCCGGUCGCGCAACUGCAGCUUGCGUUUUUUCAAACGCUGCAGUCUGAGCAGGUCCGGUGCGGGCGACUGAUGCAGCGCCUCGAUGGCGGCGUCCAGGUCGCGAUGCUCCUGCUGC